UCUUAGGUGACUGAGUCAAUAAGUGUCAGAUUUUUAAUCUGAAAACAGCAGUUUUUGCUCCUAAGAG
rnacentral:tRNA from 1 species